rnacentral:rRNA from 1 species
AUUGAACGCUGGCGGCAUGCCUUACACAUGCAAGUCGAACGGCAGCACGGGAGCAAUCCUGGUGGCGAGUGGCGAACGGGUGAGUAAAGUAUCGGAACGUGCCCAGUCGUGGGGGAUAACGUAGCGAAAGUUACGCUAAUACCGCAUACGAUCUAUGAAUGAAAGCGGGGGAUCGCAAGACCCCGCGCGAUUGGAGCGGCCGAUAUCAGAUUAGGUAGUUGGUGGGGUAAAGGCUCACCAAGCCGACGAUCUGUAGCUGGUCUGAGAGGACGACCAGCCACACUGGGACUGAGACACGGCCCAGACUCCUACGGGAGGCAGCAGUGGGGAAUUUUGGACAAUGGGCGAAAGCCUGAUCCAGCCAUGCCGCGUGCAGGAUGAAGGCCUUCGGGUUGUAAACUGCUUUUGUACGGAACGAAAAGGUUUGGCCUAAUAAGCUGAGCUCAUGACGGUACCGUAAGAAUAAGCACCGGCUAACUACGUGCCAGCAGCCGCAGUAA